AGUAAACACGAACCUAAACAAGAAUCCAGACUAGACAGAACUCAAAAUAUUACAAAAAUUUCCAUUAAGGACAAUGAUAACAAAAGUAUCUUGGCACACAUACAGACACAGCCUGCGAACCGCCUUACUGUGUAGCUGAACCUCGUGCGUGUUUGUCUGGCAUGUUUCCUAAUGUUUUGCUUUGUUAUCAUUGCAAGCUUUGUGGUGCUCUGCAUGAAUGAUUUGACCACACCUGAGCUAUUCAACUGUUCUUAAUGGCAGGUAAACACUAUCACAGACAAUUAGUCUGUCUAACACAGUCCUGUCCUACAGCGUUCCAGACCACAUAUAUUUUAAAAUUAGUUUGAGCCUUUGAGAUGUUGUUAUUUUGUAUAGACCAUAAUGAAACAUAAGUAUCAUUGCUAAACUAUACGAUCAUAUAUCAAAAUAAGUCUGCCCAAUAGGAGAAGGUACUCUAUACAUACAUAGAUUUUAUAAGUUCAAAGUUGAUGCUCACAAUUAAAAUGUGAUCUGAAUCCACAAUAACCUAAAAACACAUUGCUUAGUGCAUGCUACGCUUCAUCACCAAAAGUCAAGUAAAAAAAUAUUUUAAAGCAUAUCCCUGCUAAUCCAGCUGAAAGGUACACAAACUGCAUACCUUUGCAUACAAUAAAGCAUUGUUAAACUUGACACCUAACAUUUUCACAGCAUCAUUUUCCUCCCCUCGGCCCCACCAAAAAGUUUCUCUUAAUUGCAGGGUUUUGAAAGUGGAAUGUUCCCUGCCAAAUGCCAGUCAAAGAAGACAAAAAGCUCCAAGAUGAAUAGCAAGGGUGUUUUCACACUGCCACAUGUAAACAAGUGUCUGCAUGUAUAUACGGCAGGCACAGUGUUGUGUGUUCUCCACACUGUAGGACAAGGCAUACAGAACAGUCCCUGAGAAUCCAGAGAUAUUUCGGCUCAGACCCUGAGCUGGUUGACUUUGCUGCACCUCUACUUUCCUGCCACAAGGUGUGUUGACAGAGAAUGAGCUUCAGAUCCAUAGACAUGUUUGGCUUCCAACUGUGCCUGAUUGGAUUCUGCAUGCUGACAAGUGCAGCUGGAACACACCAGGCUUUUACCAGUUCUGCAGAGAUGAAUAUUUCUUCAUGCCCCAUCACCUACUUUGGCAAGAAAUACGAGAAAGUAUUUGAUCCGGCAUGCUAGGAGGACUGCGUGGUGAGGGAUAAGGACGCUUGGCCAGCCUGAAGACCUAUCUUCAGUCCACCUACAUUGAAAAAAAGGGGAGUCCUAGAACCUGCUCCUGGCUGAUCGGAUCCGAAUCAAAGAAAAUUCUGUGAUGAUUUCUGAGUGAGACACUACUCUAAACCAUUUUAUUGUACAUUAACCAUCAUCUCCUAAUACUUGUUUAAUUUUGCAGAGUUGGUGGAGUGGGAACAUCAGCGUGAGGGCCUGACCCUGUCUGGAGAACAGGGCUGGUCUAUUGGCAACAAUAGGACCCGGUCUAUUGGUAACAAUAGGACCAAGCAAGACAAAGGGUUUUGCGGGUGGUCUUAGCAUUUCUACACCUCAUAAAGGAGAAAGCCAGGACGGGCAGACGUGCCGCCUGUGGUAAAAAAAAAUGGGUUCCGGAACCUCAAAGGCCUCGGGGGUGUCUCCCCCUCCUCCAGACUCUCCAAUAUAUAAAAUUAUGGGGGAAAAAGUGGAGAUGAUUGUGUUGAAUGUGCUUUCAUUUGGUAAGAUAAGUUAUAAUAAGUUAUUAUAAGUUUAUAAGUAUAAUAGGUUUAUAAGUCAGUUUAUAAGUUUAUAAGUUAUAAAUCAGUCAAAUAAGGUUAAACAGUUGAUGGAGAGAGACUAGGAAAAAAAGUAAAAAUAAUAUAUAUCUAUAUAUCUAU